GCUUUGAAAUGGUCAAGGCCAUUCAAGCGACCAUUACAUUGGUCAGCCGCAAUAACAUGCUUAGGCGAAUACAUUAAGAGGUUCACAGUAAGUGAGUAAUAAAGUGAAAGCUGAAGGUGAC
rnacentral:sRNA from 16 species